rnacentral:rRNA from 1 species
UGUCCAGACUCCUACGGGAGGCAGCAGUGAGGAAUAUUGGUCAAUGGGCGGGAGCCUGAACCAGCCAAGUCGCGUGAGGGAAGACGGUCCUACGGAUUGUAACCCUCUUUUGCCGGGGAGCAACGGGGUCCUUGCGAGGGCCCAAUGAGAGUACCCGGAGAAAAAGCAUCGGCUAACUCCGUGCCAGCAGCCGCGGUAAUACGGAGGAUGCGAGCGUUAAUCGGAAUUACUGGGCGUAAAGCGCUCGUAGGCGGUAUGUCAAGUCAAGGGUGAAAUCCCCGCGCUCAACGUGGGAACUGCCUUUGAAACUGGCAAACUGGAGUGUGUGAGAGGAUAGUGGAAUUCCAGGUGUAGGAGUGAAAUCCGUAGAUAUCUGGAGGAACAUCAGUGGCGAAGGCGACUAUCUGGCACAUAACUGACGCUGAGGAGCGAAGGCGUGGGUAGCAAACAGGAUUAGAUACCCUAGUA